GCCAGAUUCAUGAGUCAGGCCAGGUUGAUGGUUGGGGAACAGUGAGCCCCCAGGCUGGAUAGGGAAGGAAUCCCUGGGCUGGGUAUAGAGGUUCUUGAUGUCCAGAUCUGGAGUUUUACUGGAAGGAUAGGAACAGGAGCCAGUUGUCAGGAUAAAGAGGCAAUAGACAACGGGUAUUGAGACCACAAGUGUAGAUUAUUCAUUGUAGAAGCUUAACUGGAGAAUAACUGAAGGGAUCAAAGAAAGGGACUCUUCUAGAAAUAGACCUUUGGGUUUUGAAAGCAAGAAGAAAGGAAAUAGUGUAAGGAAUUAUAAAUGGCAUAGAAUUGGAGGGGGAAAUCAUUUAAAAAAUGUGUUUGAAUUGAAGGCCCUUUGGGAAUGGGGAAGUGAUAACUCUAGGGGAGUUGAAAGACUUUGUUUUAGAGUAGAGGAACUAUGAGGCAGUGUACUUGAUCGAACACCUCUGAUAGUCCGAGUAUGGUUACCUCAAUAAGUAACCAUUCCUCUUGCUCCAAGCCUGAUGGGAAGGUAAACAUAAGAAUAGAAAUUUCUUGAGCUGAAGUGAAGUGAAGGAACUCCCUCCCGAAAACCAUGGCAUGUCACGAGGAACGUUUAUUGUAGGUUAGGCGGUCUGGUGCCUCUAGGGGGGACAAUCAAAUGAUACAGGACCUCGAAGAGUCUUACUUUGGAUUUCUGUGGC
rnacentral:lncRNA from 1 species